GUAUAGCCCAUCUAGUUCGAGAUUGUCCUACAAAGACUAAUGCCAGGACAAAAGAAGCUAAAGCAAUAGAAUGCUUUAAUCUUAAUCUCCUUAAGACAGAUGAUGAUAUGCUUUCAGAAGAAAGUGUGUGGUCAAUUUACAGCAUAGUAGAAGAAUAUCUAGAAGAUAUUCCAGAUGAAUAUUUACCAGAACAAGAGGAAGAACUUCUUGAUAUUUUUCAGAAAAAUAUUAAUUUUAUGGAAAGAAAUAUAAAAAUUGAUAAUUUUGAAUCUCUUGUUGCAGGCUUGGAAUGUCAAUAUCAAUGGCAAAAGCGUGGCACACUCUCAGUUGAAUGUUUUAUUUGUCAUUUUUAUCCAGGUAAACAGAUCCGGAUACAAUGCUUCAGAUGCAGGUUAGAAGCUUGUAUUCCUUGUGUAGAAAAACAAUUUAAUACCAAGCUUAAUUUUCCAGAAGUUAGCCCAAUUUCUAUUUCCAAUAGAAUUUCCGAAAGAACUAUCCUUAAUCUUCAGGGCUGGAGCCGGUAUAGAUUAUGAAUCAUCUUAUGGGAAGGUUCGCGCAAAUGAUACUAUUCUGAAGCUUCAAAGAACAGAACCAUAUUAUAAAAGGAACCGUGCACAUAUUUGCGGUUUCUACAUCCGUGGUGCAUGCACAAGAGGUGAUGAGUGUCCUUACAGGCACGAGAUGCCCAUAACUGGGGAGUUGUCAAAGCAAAAUAUUGAAGAUCGUUACUACGGAGUCAAUGAUCCAGUGGCGCUUAAGUUACUUAACAAGGCUGGAGAUAUGUCUUCUUUGGAACCUCCUGAUGAUAAGAGCAUAAAAACCCUCUAUGUGGGUGGGGUUAAUGCCAGCAUCACUGACCAAGAUUUAAGGGAUCACUUUUAUGCUUACGGAGAGAUCUAGUCUGUUAAGAUGGUGUUACAACGAGCCUGUGCUUUUGUAACCUACACAACCAGAGAACGGGCAGAAAAAGCUGCUGAAGAGCUGUCAAAUAAACUGGUAAUAAAGGGUUUGAGGUUGAAGCUUUCGUGGGGUAGACCACAGGCACCAACAGCAGGAAGUAGCUCAUAGCGGGUUGUUGUCUCGGGGUGUCAUAUCUCAGCAGCAAAGCCAAUUGCAACCGGGUGGAACUCAUUACCAAGGCACAUCGAUUCAAUACUACAACAUCCCUCCUCUAUCUCAGCAGGAGAGUGCCUAUUAUCCAUCAAUGGACCCUCAAAGAAUGGGUGCCUCUGUUAAUUUGCAAGAGGGGGGUCUCAGUGGGACGGAGAAUCUGCUACAACAGCAUUAUGCAUUUCAAGCUAUCCUUCCACUACAGGGGCAAGACCGAAGGCAAUGUUAUCCUCAAUAUAUGGCUCCGCUACCACCUCACCACUAGUACCCUCCUUAUCACUCUGCAAUGCCACCAUCACAGCCUCAGUGUCUGCACCAUCAGGAUCUGCUCCUCCAGGAUCUAAAAUAACAUCAGGUUGGGUCUGACCUUCCACUUUCCCAUGUAACACUUGUUUGUCAACUUUCUCCAAAACCAAAACACAAUUUACACAAAAUUUUACUUGCUUUUUUUAGGACUUGUUACCAUAUUGUCAUUCAAUUAAAUUCAAUGUGGAUUCAACAUAAAUAAAUGAAAAAAUAAAUUCAAUACAAAAGUCUUCUCUCA